UAGUAUCUUAGCUUUUUUUAUCUGCCUGCGAGCAGUUAUACCACAUCUGCUUCCGGCAAAAAAAAAAAAUCCCUAAGUUUAUUGUUCGUUCUGUUCGAGGAAAAAAAAAAAAAGAAAAAUGAAGCAGACCCUUGCCACUGUCCACCUAAGCCACCACCUUCCCCUAACCAAACAGUAGCACCACCACCUCCACGCGAUUGGUUCAGGGUUGACCCAUGUUCACUCCCAAACUAUUUCCAGCAUCACACCACUUCCCUGGAGACUUGCUUGAUGCUCAGAACUGCCAUUUGACGUCCCUACAAUGAGAUCCAUCCAGUUUGAAUUUUGACCCAAUUCUAGACCCGCCUGAAGCUUGAUAAUCUCCC
rnacentral:misc_RNA from 1 species